rnacentral:rRNA from 1 species
GACGAACGCUGGCGGCGUGCUUAACACAUGCAAGUCGAGCGGUAAGGCCCUUUCGGGGGUACACGAGCGGCGAACGGGUGAGUAACACGUGGGUGACCUGCCUCAGAGUGGGGGAUAACGUCCCGAAAGGGACGCUAAUACCGCAUAACAUCCUGCCUUUGGAAAGGCGGAGAUCAAAGCCGGGGAUCGCAAGACCUGGCGCUUGGAGAGGGGCCCGCGUCUGAUUAGCUAGUUGGUAGGGUAAUGGCCACCAAGGCAACGAUCAGUAUCCGGCCUGAGAGGGCGGACGGACACACUGGGACUGAGACACGGCCCAGACUCCUACGGGAGGCAGCAGUGGGGAAUUGUUCGCAAUGGGCGCAAGCCUGACGACGCAACGCCGCGUGGAGGAUGAAGAUCUUCGGGUCGUAAACUCCUGUCGAGCGGGACGAACACCUAUCCAGCUAACAUCUGGACUGGCUGACGGUACCGCUAAAGGAAGCCCCGGCUAACUCCGU